UUGAACGCUGGCGGCAUGCCUUACACAUGCAAGUCGAACGGCAGCACGGGGGCAACCCUGGUGGCGAGUGGCGAACGGGUGAGUAAUACAUCGGAACGUGCCCUGAAGUGGGGGAUAACGUAGCGAAAGUUACGCUAAUACCGCAUAUUCUGUGAGCAGGAAAGCGGGGGAUCGCAAGACCUCGCGUGAUUGGAGCGGCCGAUGUCGGAUUAGCUAGUUGGUGGGGUAAAGGCCUACCAAGGCGACGAUCCGUAGCGGGUCUGAGAGGAUGAUCCGCCACACUGGGACUGAGGCACGGCCCAGACUCCUACGGGAGGCAGCAGUGGGGAAUUUUGGACAAUGGGGGCAACCCUGAUCCAGCCAUGCCGCGUGAGUGAAGAAGGCCUUCGGGUUGUAAAGCUCUUUCAGACGGAAAGAAAUCGGGUGGGUGAAUAGCCUGCCUGGAUGACGGUACUGUCAGAAGAAGCACCGGCUAACUACGU
rnacentral:rRNA from 1 species